UACGUAGGGAGCAAGCGUUGUCCGGAAUCAUUGGGCGUAAAGCGCGCGUAGGUGGCUUCGUAAGUCCGCUGUGAAAGUCAAAGGCUCAACCUUUGAAAGCCGGUGGAUACUGUGAAGCUAGAGUCCGGAAGAGGCGAGUGGAAUUCCUGGUGUAGCGGUGGAAUGCGCAGAUAUCAGGAAGAACACCCGUGGCUAAGGCGGCUCUCUAGUACGGUACUGACGCUGAGACGCGAAAGCGUGGGGAGCGAACAGG
rnacentral:rRNA from 1 species